UCGAGUAAUCAGAUCUUUGCCUGAAUUGCUUACUGCAGUGAAACUUGGAUCAAACAUGUAGUAAAAAUAUCAGUUAAUCUGUUCAAGAGGCUGGAUAUGUUCAUUUGUUUUCUCUGAGCCAGUUUCAUUCUGUCAUUUGUGAUGAAGGGAAAAGAAAAACGAUGUCCAAACUACGUAUAUGUUUACAAGAUUUUUAUUUCUGUUUUGCUUAGUCUGUGGUUAAGCUGGCUCAUUUUAUGUACUCUGUGACACAGCGAUUUACUCCUUCAUUAAAAAGUCAUUAAUGGUGUUGCUCAUGCAUUUUUCUUUUUCAGGUUGCACAAUGAUAGGAAUCAAGCAAAUGUUUGCCUCUGAGGGUUGUACAGAGAAGUGAAACCAAAUGAAAGGACACUUAGGGAGCUGCCCAUACUCCCUGUACCUUGAAGUCAAGUUGAAGAGCCAGAUGCUGAGAGUGGCACCCAGCAAUUUAUCUCGACCUGAAAAGAGUGAUGCUUCUACCCAACUAUGUAGAGACUGAGCAAGAUCAACUUUGGAGCCCAAGUGAACAAAGCAAAGCCUCAAGUGUUGCAAAAGAACCAUUUUGCUUCUAAAGAACUGGACAGGAAGAGACAUCAGCUGUGAAGAAGUAUAGAAAGUAGCCUGUUAGAAUCUGGGAGGUUGAUGUAUGUGAGGAGAGAAAAGAUGUUUCAAGAAGUCAUGUGUAUUAGUCAGGGUUUUCUAGAGUAUCAGAGAUUAAAGAAUGAAUCUUUGUAUAUAUCUGUAUCUCUGUCUAUCUAUCUAUCUAUCUAUCUAUCUAUCUAUCUAUCUAUCUAUCUAUCUAUCUAUCUAUCAUCUAUGGGAAUUUAUUGGAACGAUUUACAGACUACAGUUCAACAAUGGCUAGCUGUGAAUAAAAUGUCCAAGAAUCCAGUAGUUGCUCAGUCCCAUGAGGCUGGGUGUUUCAGCUGAUCUUCUGUAUAUGUUGGAAUCUCAAGGAUGUAGACUCCAAUGCCAAUGAAGAAAUGGAUGUCCUGACAAGGUGAGGGCAAGCAGGCAAAGAAGGAACACACCCUCUUCUUUCUUCCAUUGUCCGUCCAGCAGAAAGUGUGACCCAGAUUAAAGGUGUGCCUUCCAACCUCAAGGUCUAGAUUAAAGGCAUGUGUCAUUCAGCUUCAAGAUCCAGAUCAAAGUCAUGUUCUCUCUUGCUUCAAGGUCUGGAUCACAAGUGUGCCCUCCAUUUUUGGAUUAUAGUUCAUUCCAGAUAUAGUCAAGUUGACAACCAAGAAUAGCCAUCACAGCAUGGUUAACUGCGACACAGCUUGGUGGGGUGUACAGUGAUUGCCACAGAAUGAAAUGAAGGAGACUUGAGCUUCUGUUAUUAUCUGAAAUACAUGAGGUCAGAAUUAGUCUUAUAGAUCUUUGGAGAGUUGUGUUCAAUAAACCCUAACAAAAUAUUUUUCUUGGAAUUAGACUUUUAGUAGUUAUCAGAGUGAGGCUGAUGGUGUUUUAAUGUGGAAGAAUGUUGGUCUUAUUUGGAGUGCAACCUACUGUGACAUUGUGGGUAGAGUUGCAGUGAUGGAGGGAGGCAGUAGAAUAGGCAGUUCUGGAAGGUCUAGCUUUAAAUGUAGGUCUCUGUGGAAUUUCUAAAUGCGCAUUAAAGAAAGCAUGACUUGGUACAGCUGCUACGUGAUGGGCUGAGCAGGAAAAGCAGCAUAGAGUGUUCUGGAGCCUUCCAUAAGCCUUGCCCGAAGGCUUUGAAGGCCAGUUUAGUGGGACUGGUUUGAUAAAGAUCACUUGGGGUUAGGGAGGAUAUGUUUAAGCAGAGAAUAUAACUUUCCAUAUUGUCUUCAGUAGGAGUUCAUGAUGCAAAGUGCAACAUUUUAACUUUGCGAACAACGACACAGAACAGGGCCAUUUGGAAUUCUCAUAAGUGUAGAGCUGACUUUGUCUUACAACAAGUCAGGAAUAAGAUAUGAAAAAAAAUCUCAUAAAGUUCAGUGUUUUUUUUUCUUCUUUAUGUUUCUUUAGGCUUAGUUCAUAAUUGACAGGAUGGGUGUUUUCUUGGAGGAUAAAAUAAAUUUAUGCAUGCUUAUCCAUCAUUUUUCACUUCUGUUUUGUCUGUGGUCAUAGAACUCCCUCAUUUUAAAUGACAAAAGCUUCAAAAAGUCAGAGAGACAACAAAAUAGUUACCAAUAACUGUCAUGUAAAGAAAACUAAAAAUGUAUUUAGUUUGGGCUUUUAUUUUUUUUGGUUGUGAAUUGUGACCAGGAAAAAAACUACUCUCUCUUUAAUGUACAGUGCACCUUUACAGCAGAAAGUAAGAAACGCUUUAAAAUUGAAAAUUAAUAUUUUUUCAGGUUUUCUUAGUAUAUGUUAUAUUUAUCUUCUGUUUUCUUUCAUUAAAAAUUUACCUGCCUUUUAUUAUUUCUGUAAAUGGCAGAAGUAAACAAGGCUAAAAAAUUAUCUGCACAGGUUUUGUUUCUUGACUCUUGUAAUUUGUCUUUGUUUUUUAAUUUUAUUGUUUAUCUUGUCAGAUAUAAUCACAUUCAAGCACAAUGAAUUCUGCUUUAAAAAUUAUCUUACUGUAUAAUUGGAUUGUGGUAAUUAUUGUUUUUAUUUUGCUGCAAAGAAUAAAAUAACAAAGUGAAGAUAAUGAAUAUUUUUGUCUGAGAAUGAACAAAUAUAUAUUGUUAUUUAAAAAUGAUCUCUUUGUUUACACACUGACAUCUCCUAAUGUUAUUUUUGUGCUUAUUUCCUAUGAUCACUGUUGUUAUAAUUUGUGCAUGGCCAGUAUCCUGGGUUUUUACUGAUUACACAGCAGAUCUUUCUUUCCUACACACCUGUGUUCAUCCAUUGCUUUUUGUAAAGAUUCCUCCCUGGAGUCUACUGUAGACAUGAUUCCUCCUCUAAGGUCCUUCCUUAGGUAGGUUCCUGGGAUAGUAACCAAGUUGUCUCAUCACACUAUGCUUUAUAAACUUCCUCUGGUAAUCACUAUAUAUGCUUUUGAUGCCAUACAAAUGCUUUACUUUUUGUAUACUUGAGGGAUGUUUUAUUUUAUAUAUGUUUUCAUCCUGAACUGUGACCAAAGUAGCAAUGAUUAAGUGAAAAAUAAAAUUGUGUCUUUGGUCUGGC